rnacentral:rRNA from 1 species
UGGUGGAGUGAUUUGUCUGGUUAAUUCCGAUAACGAACGAGACCUUAACCUGCUAACUAGUUUCACAAACUUUCUUUCAUCAUUGAUGAAAGGCUUUAAGGUUUGGCGAAACUUCUUAGAGGGACUAUCUGUGACUAACAGAUGGAAGUUUGAGGCAAUAACA